rnacentral:rRNA from 1 species
AUUGAACGCUGGCGGCAGGCCUAACACAUGCAAGUCGAGCGAGCGGCGGACGGGUGAGUAAUGUCUGGGAAACUGCCUGAUGGAGGGGGAUAACUACUGGAAACGGUAGCUAAUACAGCAUACCAUCAGAUGUGCCCAGAUGGGAUUAGCUAGUAGGUGGGGUAACGGCUCACAUAGGCGACGAUCCCUAGCUGGUCUGAGAGGAUGACCCGCCACACGGGAACUGAUGCACGGGCCAGACUCCUACGGGAGGAAGCAGUGGGGAAGAUUGCACAAUGGGCGAAAGCCUGAUGCAGCCAUGCCGGGUGUGUGAAGAAGGCCUUCGGGUUGUAAAGCACUUUCAGCGGGGAGGCGUUACCCGCAGAAGAAGCACCGGCUAACUCCGUGUCAGCAGCCGCGGUAAUUC